AUGUGGGUUUAGAAAAUACAAAAAAUGAUAGUAGUCAACAUAACGUGCAAAAACAAAAGAGGAAAGAGUUGUCUAAUGACCUUGCAACAAAGAAAAAAAAGAUAAUAAGGGAAAAAAGGUUUCAGGUGCUACAUAGAUGACUGAUACAGUUAAAGAGCUAAAAGAAACUAUAAAAGAGACCAUGGAGUCUAAGACUGCAACUAUGUGUAGUCUUUUGGGAGAUUGCCUUGGUUGUUCUAUUGAAGAAGUUAUGAAAGAUGUAUUAACUUUGCCACUUAUAGAGAAAGUAAGCGAUAUUCAUUUUUUCUGCACACUAUUACUUGAUCAAAAGUCAAAAAGAGAGAUGUACAAUAUUUUCGAAGAUGCAGAAACAAAGUGGAAAUGGCUUCAAUUUCAUUUCUCAUUAUGGACUAAUGGUGUGUGGAAGCCUUCUACUUAGUAGAUGCUAUUACUUGUAUUUGCUAUUUUUCUUAUUUUCAUUACUUGUUUGAACUCUUAAUUAUCAAGUUUGGCAUUGCAAUAAAGUUUUAGUGUAAUCAUGAACUUUUAAAGUUAAAAUAUUUAGUACUUGAUAUUAAUUUAUAUAUGAGGUUUAUUUGUUUUUAUUUUUUCUUGAUAGAUAUGAAUGUUGUUCAGCGAAUGAUUUGGGAUGAUGAUGACGAUGAAGUUUGGAAGACAACCACAUAUGCAGUUGAUAUUAUAUGUAGCUAUUACUUGUCUUAUAUUCAUAAAGAACCUUGUAUGGAUUCAUUCCAUACAGGAUUUGUAUGGUUACAAGAAAUAAUGAGAGAAUGGGAAGGUAUAGCUCAUGAUGGACGCCUUUUCCAGUAUGCUAUCAAUAAAUAAAAUUUAAACUUUUCCAAACCACCACCAGGAAAAUAUUAUGUAGUGGAUGCUGGAUAUCAACAGAUGGAAGGAUAUUUUGCACCUUAUAAAGGUACUAGAUAUCAUUUACCUAAUUUUCAACGUGGUGGAAGACCAAUGAGACUCAAAGAAAUUUUUAAUCGUUAGCAUUCAUCUCUAAGAUGUUGCAUUGAACGAACUUUUGGAGUUUGGAAGGCAAGAUGGAAGAUAUUACGAACAAUGCCUCCUUAUUCAUUUUAUGUACAAAGAGAUAUAGCAGUUGUGUCCAUAGCAUUACAUAA